rnacentral:sRNA from 1 species
CCGAGAUUGGAGCCUCCGUGCUCGAACUA